rnacentral:misc_RNA from 1 species
GAACGCACAUUGCGCCCCUUGGUACUCCAUGGGGCAUGCCUGUUCGAGCGUCAUUUACACCCUCAAGCUCAGCUUGGUGUUGGGCGUCUGUCCCGCUUCGUGCGCGGACUCGCCUCAAAUGCAUUGGCAGCGGUCUUGCCAGCUUCUCGCGCAGCACAUUGCGCUUCUAGAGGCUUUGGCGGAUCGGCGUCCAUCAAGUACACCCACAGUUUGACCUCGGAUCAGGUAGGGAUACCCGCUGAACUUAAG